rnacentral:rRNA from 1 species
GAGCGGCGAACGGGUGAGUAACACGUGGGUGAUCUGCCUCGCACUCUGGGAUAAGCCUGGGAAACUGGGUCUAAUACCGGAUACGACCANCCUCUGCAUGGGGGGUGGUGGAAAGGUUUACUGGUGCGAGAUGGGCCCGCGGCCUAUCAGCUUGUUGGUGGGGUAAUGGCCUACCAAGGCGACGACGGGUAGCCGACCUGAGAGGGUGACCGGCCACACUGGGACUGAGACACGGCCCAGACUCCUACGGGAGGCAGCAGUGGGGAAUAUUGCACAAUGGGCGAAAGCCUGAUGCAGCGACGCCGCGUGAGGGAUGACGGCCUUCGGGUUGUAAACCUCUUUCGACAGGGACGAAGNGCAAGUGACGGUACCUGUAGAAGAAGCACCGGCCAACUACGUGCCAGCAGCCGCGGUAAUACGUAGGGUGCGAGCGUUGUCCGGAAUUACUGGGCGUAAAGAGCUUGUAGGCGGUUUGUCGCGUCGAUUGUGAAAACUCACGGCUCAACCGUGAGCUUGCAGUCGAUACGGGCAGACUAGAGUACUUCAGGGGAGACUGGAAUUCCU